GACGAACGCUGGCGGCGUGCUUAACACGUGCAAGUCGAACGGAAAGGCCCUGCUUUUGUGGGGUGCUCGAGUGGCGAACGGGCGAGUAACACGUGAGUAACCUGCCCUUGACUUUGGGAUAACUUCAGGAAACUGGGGCUAAUACCGGAUAGGAGCUCCUGCUGCAUGGGGGGGGUUGGAAAGUUUCGGCGGUUGGGGAUGGACUCGCGGCUUAUCAGCUUGUUGGUGGGGUAGUGGCUUACCAAGGCUUUGACGGGUAGCCGGCCUGAGAGGGUGACCGGCCACAUUGGGACUGAGAUACGGCCCAGACUCCUCCGGGAGGCAGCAGUGGGGAAUAUUGCACAAUGGGCGGAAGCCUGAUGCAGCAACGCCGCGUGCGGGAUGACGGCCUUCGGGUUGUAAACCGCUUUCGCCUGUGACGAAGCGUGAGUGACGGUAAUGGGUAAAGAAGCACCGGCUAACUACGUG
rnacentral:rRNA from 1 species